rnacentral:rRNA from 1 species
UACGUAGGGUGCAAGCGUUAAUCGGAAUUACUGGGCGUAAAGCGUGCGCAGGCGGUGAUGUAAGUCAGGUGUGAAAUCCCCGGGCUUAACCUGGGAACUGCAUUUGAGACUGCAUCGCUGGAGUGCGGCAGAGGGGGAUGGAAUUCCGCGUGUAGCAGUGAAAUGCGUAGAUAUGCGGAGGAACACCGAUGGCGAAGGCAAUCCCCUGGGCCUGCACUGACGCUCAUGCGCGAAAGCGUGGGGAGCAAACAGG